GACGAACGCUGGCGGCGUGCUUAACACAUGCAAGUCGAACGGUGACGGAGAGCUUGCUCUCCUGAUCAGUGGCGAACGGGUGAGUAACACGUGGGCAAUCUGCCCCUGACUUCGGGAUAACGCUUCGAAAGAGGUGCUAAUACCGAAUACGAAUCCUGCAGGCAUCUGCGGGAUUGGAAAGUUUUUCGGUCAGGGAUGAGCCCGCGGCCUAUCAGCUAGUUGGUGAGGUAAUGGCUCACCAAGGCGACGACGGGUAGCCGGCCUGAGAGGGCGACCGGCCACACUGGGACUGAGACACGGCCCAGACUCCUACGGGAGGCAGCAGUGGGGAAUAUUGCGCAAUGGGCGAAAGCCUGACGCAGCAACGCCGCGUGCGGGAAGAAGGCUCUCGGGUUGUAAACCGCUUUCAGAAGGAACGAAAAUGACGGUACUUUCAGAAGAAGGUGCGGCCAACUACGUGCCAGCAG
rnacentral:rRNA from 1 species